rnacentral:tRNA from 5 species
GGCUGGUUGCCCGAGCGGCCAAAGGGAUCUGACUGUAAAUCAGACGGCUCAGCCUUCGGGGGUUCGAAUCCCUCACCAGCCA